AUGUCCGCCUUAUCCACUGCCCCAUUUUGAGGUUAUAGUCAAGCACACAGUCUGGUUUGAUCUUUAUCUCUCCCAUCAGGUGGUCCACCUUCCCUGUGGCGCACAUGGUUGCAGUAAGGACAGUGGAGAGGACAUGGACGUCUCGAUUGUCAUGCCACUUUAUCGCCAGCUGUUGACCGUUCUCCUUGAACUCCACCUCCCCUCUCUGCAUCUUCCUUCCUCCGAAUGCUUGCAUCCCCUUCCUGUUCGUCCUGACUGUGCCACAAGCCCCUGUGCUGUUGGAGAGGAGAUGCUGGAAGAGUGUGGGACUGCUGUACCAACUGCCGAGAUGAGGAGCCAGCAUGGUCAUCCCCACGGACCCGGACACCCCAAGCCCCUCAUAAUGUUGGAGAUAUUGACAGAACACCAGCCUACCUUUCCAUAACAUCAGGGACUCAUCAAUGCAUACGUCCUUGUAUGGCACAAAGACCCAACCAAAUGCUGAUGUCAGACUGCUCUAAGGCAUAGCGAUUGGUCUCCUCUACUAUGUCUUCCACCAGCUCCUCUGUCAGAAACAACUUGAAGCACUCUGCCUCAGAUAGAAUUGGCAAGGGGCUUUGCGCUCCAGACUGGGAUUCAUCAAAGCAAACAGCAGGGCCAGGAGGGGUGAAAUGGCUGGCGGCCUUCCAGCUACCACAGAACUCCAAUACUUCAUCCACUGUCGGUCUGACUCCAUCACGACCAGCAUCUUCAAAGGGACCAAGGGGUCCUCAGAUUCAGAGUUCUCAAAGGCUAUAAGGUUGGGGGCCAGCUCCUCACUGUCACUGUCAGAAUCCGAUUCCUGACUUUCAUACUCAGACUCAUUGUCAGAAUUGAUAAAAAUCUCCAGAAUUUUUGCAUUUGUGAGUUGUCUCCUUGUGAAAGUCAUUGCUAAUGCUACAGCUUAGCUCACUAGCUACAUACAUAAACAACAACACUGAAUGGCUCAGAGUGGGAGUGAGAGGUUACGUGAUUGACUGCCAGCAUGCGC
rnacentral:lncRNA from 1 species